GAUGAAGUACGUAGCGAAAUGCGAUAAGUAAUGUGAAUUGCAGAAUUCAGUGAAUCAUCGAAUCUUUGAACGCACAUUGCGCCCGCCAGUAUUCUGGCGGGCAUGCCUGUUCGAGCGUCAUUUCAACCAUCAAGCCCCAGGCUUGUGUUGGGGACCUGCGGCUGCCGCAGGCCCUGAAAACCAGUGGCGGGCUCGCUGUCACACCGGGCGUAGUAGAUUUUAUCUCGCUCAGGGCGUGCUGCGGGUUCCGGCCGUUAAAAAGCCUUUUUUACCCAAGGUUGACCUCGGAUCAGGUAGGAAUACCCGCUGAACUUAAGCAUAUCAAUAAGCGGAGGA
rnacentral:misc_RNA from 1 species